UCGAGCGAACGGACGAGAAGCUUGCUUCUCUGAUGUUAGCGGCGGACGGGUGAGUAACACGUGGAUAACCUACCUAUAAGACUGGGAUAACUUCGGGAAACCGGAGCUAAUACCGGAUAAUAUUUUGAACCGCAUGGUUCAAAAGUGAAAGACGGUCUUGCUGUCACUUAUAGAUGGAUCCGCGCUGCAUUAGCUAGUUGGUAAGGUAACGGCUUACCAAGGCAACGAUGCAUAGCCGACCUGAGAGGGUGAUCGGCCACACUGGAACUGAGACACGGUCCAGACUCCUACGGGAGGCAGCAGUAGGGAAUCUUCCGCAAUGGGCGAAAGCCUGACGGAGCAACGCCGCGUGAGUGAUGAAGGUCUUCGGAUCGUAAAACUCUGUUAUUAGGGAAGAACAUAUGUGUAAGUAACUGUGCACAUCUUGACGGUACCUAAUCAGAAAGCCACGGCUAACUACGUGCCAGCAGCCGCGGUAAUACGUAGGUGGCAAGCGUUAUCCGGAAUUAUUGGGCGUAAAGCGCGCGUAGGCGGUUUUUUAAGUCUGAUGUGAAGCCCACGGCUCAACCGUGGAGGGUCAUUGGAAACUGGAAAACUUGAGUGCAGAAGAGGAAAGUGGAAUUCCAUGUGUAGCGGUGAAAUGCGCAGAGAUAUGGAGGAACACCAGUGGCGAAGGCGACUU
rnacentral:rRNA from 1 species